GUUGGACUGGGGUGGAGGCGGUGGGGGCUGAGGGGUGUGGGAUUCUGGAUCUUUCUGGAUCUACCCCGAAUGUGGAGCCAACAGGGGAUGUAUUGGACGUGGGAUGUGGGGAAAGUAGGGACAUGAAAGAAGGCUAGGACCCAAGGUGACCUCUAGGAACUGAGAGUGGCCCUCCAGCUCCCAGCUGGCAAGGAAACAUGCAUCUCAGACCGGCAACCACAAGAAGUUGAACUGUGCUGACAACCAAAGGAACUUAGAGUGGACCCUGAGCCGCACAAAGGAUCACAGCCUAGCUGACACGGUGAUUUCAGCCUGGUGAGACCUAAGCAGAGAAGCCAAUCAUUUCAUGCCAGGACUUCUGACCUGCAGAAACUGUUGUCCAGGAGUGCCAAGUCCGAGCUUCUCCUGUGUGGUCCAGCCUCUGGCACAGCUGCUCGUUAGAUGUCCAAAGGCCGUAUCAUCAUGCGAGAGGCACGCAAAAUCCCAAGAGCCAAAGAAACCUGCUCAAGUCUCAGAAUGAAUGAGGGUCAGAGCCACAUGCCAGCCUAGUGUGGCCUGACUUGGGAGUCUACGUGCAUUUUGUUCCCCAGCUGAUGAUGAUCUGGCAACCCCAGCCCCAUCGCACCUCCUCACAUUCACCCACCUCUUCCAAGAAGCCUUCCCUGACUACACCAGCCCCCAUGGAUCUGGGCUCCAGGGCACCCCAGCUCUGCAGCUUCGACAUCUGCUGCCAGCCAG
rnacentral:lncRNA from 1 species